rnacentral:rRNA from 1 species
UACGAAGGGUGCAAACGUUGCUCGGAAUCAUUGGGCGUAAAGCGCACGUAGGCGGCUUCGCAAGUCGGAUGUGAAAUCCCUCGGCUCAACCGAGGACGUGCAUCCGAAACUGCGGAGCUUGAGUACUGAAGAGGAUCGCGGAAUUCCCGGUGUAGAGGUGAAAUUCGUAGAUAUCGGGAGGAACACCAGUGGCGAAGGCGGCGAUCUGGGCAGUUACUGACGCUGAGGUGCGAAAAGCGUGGGGGAGCAAACAGG